rnacentral:lncRNA from 1 species
CUGAAUCCUCUGGAAGCAUGGAAGGAAGGAGUUAAAAAUGAGAUACGGUGAACAACGCUCUCAACUGGGACAUCUCUGGAUGGUUUCCAGCCCUUCAGGCAUGAAUUCUGUUGAAAACUGGCUUCCAUGGGACUGUCCUUGUUAGAUAACAAAGUGUUGCUCUAUAGAAUUAACGUUGUAUUCAAGUUGGUUUUGCAGGAAGUACACAGUUCCACUGCAAACUUUCUGGAACCUGAGCUCUACAGUUAGUUGCUCCCAAGAGAGUGGUGACCUGGUGACCUGAGGGGGGUGAGGGCAUUUGCUGGACCACCAGUCCUUUUCUGGUGAGAAUGCAAGUUCUUGAUUUCAUCAUAUCUUCGGAUCUAUCAACCAAGGAGCCUCCCGCUCCAAGUCUGUAAGAUAGUAAGAAUGCUUACAUCUCCUGAAGUACCAUGCUAUGCCAUCUCCAAGAGAACAGUGUAAGUCCAUUUUAAAGGGUAGGUAAGAGGACGAGCCAAUUGUCCAUCUUUGCUGCACUCAGAAUAAGACACAGCGGCUGAAGGUUGAAGCCUGAGAGGUUUGAAUUAGAGCGGAGACAGACCUUCAGCGGCCUGGGAACUCUUCUUCCCCCAUGGUACACUAUCCUCUUCUCUUUAAUUGAAACUUCUCAUGCUUCAGCUUCAGUCCAUUUGGUCCUAGACUAGGCUCAGCAAGGAGGAAGAACAAUGGUGUCUUCAUUCCUCAUUGUGAUUUCAGAUAUUUUGAGGAAAACUCUCCCCUCACCUCUUCCCCUCAUUUCUUCGUAAAAAAGAUAUUUUCUGGUUAUAAAAAUAACACACGCUUAUGGUAGAAAACUUGGAAAAUGCAGAAAUAUGUAAAUUAUACAUAUUUUUACAAACACAUUCUACAUACUCUUAUGUAAACUUUUCACAUAAGUAUCCCUCAUUAGCAUCUUUCUAUCACAAUGAAUAUUUAUUUACUCUGCACGGCUAUGCAGUAUCCCAUUGUAGGAGCGUAACAACACAAUAGACUCAAUCAGUUCCUCUCCUAGACAUUUAGGUUCCUUCUCGUAUUUCCCUAUUAUUUCAAAAAUGCCAUGAUGGACAUAACUGCAGCUAAAUCUUUUUGUACAGGUUUAAUAAUUCCUGGCAUAUAUAUUAUUAAACAAUAAGCACAACUAACUAAGGUGUUAGAAGUUAAGACAGUGGAUAUCUUUGGGGGGAAGUACUGUCUGGAAGGGGGUAUAUGUCUUCAUUAUCUUUCUAUCCACAGCAUUUGGUACAGUCUUUGGCUACUGUGAACUAUCUAAAAACACUUGAUAAAUAAAUGAGAUGCAAUUCAUCUCACUGAAAUUUAUCAUUUAAAUCUUUUAUUUUGGUAUAAAAGGUACCUUUGGAAAAGAGGCCAUGUAAGGCAUGUAUGUUUCUUUAGUCCUACAGUCCUCUCACUGUGACUUUGGUCUCUGGCUGUCCACUUGUCCUCCUUCUCCAUGGCCCCAUCGCUUCCACUGGUCACCUAGCUUUCAUGUUGCCCACUGAGAGCCAGUGACCAACCAUGGUAUCUUCUUAUUUUCCAUCCACUUCCCAAAACAAUGCCACUCUCUCUAGACUCUUCCAGAUGAUUGAUUUGAAUACUGGACUAAGAGGAAAAAUUGAUAAGUCAAUAAGGAAAGGUAAUCAGCCACUCCUCCCCAUAAUGUUUGCAUUUUAAAAGAGGGCUUCAGUGAUUUGUGCCCCCCAAAAGUGAUCAGUUGUGGUAAUAGCAAUACACAGCCUGCCUAUCUUACAGUUUUAUAGUGAGAUUCAAAUAAAAUAAUAAGCAUAAAUAGCAUGGAUAGCCCAGACAAAUUUAAGGUAGGAUGAUGAUUAUGUCAGUAGACAAAAGCAUUUUGAAGGAUACAAUCUUAUCUUUGACGCCCUCUCAAUUCUUUGCAUCCCUCAUCACCACUUAUAAAGAAUUUAAUAUCUUUUUUAUAUUUUUUAAUUUCCUGUUAUGGCCAUUCAGGAAUUUUAUGCUGGUAUGCCCCCACCCUCCAAACGCUGAAGCAGUCAACCAUUUCACUCGGCUGGACAGAACUAGAGCAGAUGAGGAAGGAGAGCCCCACCCAGGAGGUGCCAGUAGAGCCUUUCCAGUCACCAUGACAAGCAAAACUGCCGAAUUUACUCCGAAUUUACUUCCAAGCACCCUCUAGGGGCUUGAAAACCACUUUCUGACUCAUUUAAAGGGCUCGAUCUUUGCUAGAAUAUCAAAUCACGUAAAAUUAAAGGAAUUCAGGAAUUGUGGAGAAAUGAUUUGAGGGCAGAAAGAGCAGUAGCAUCAACAGUCAUAACAGCGUUUUUCCUUGAGUGUUUGACAGUAGCCCCGUGAGGAUUAGGCACUAUUUUUAGCUCCACCUUACAGGGGAGAAUGUUAAAGCUUAGAGAGCUGAAGAAUCUUGCCCAAGUUGACAGGCUUGUAGGCACCAGGAUGGGAAACCAGAUGUUUUGACGCCAGAGGUCCUGCUCUAACCUCUACACAAAGCAGGAGAAGCCACACUCCAGGAUUGCUGGUCCCAUAGGAGAAGAUUAAGAGCAUGGUGAAGAUGGAAAUGGGUGGAUCCAAUUCAGUAUCUGACCCAACCCUCCAUAAUACAUAACUGGAACGUUCAGUUACCAUGUUUUCUAUGGCUUAGAAGAGUAAAUGAAAAAGACAAUAAAUGAGGAAAAAGAGAAGAAAAUAAGCAAUCAGAGUAAUGUAGAGAACAUAAGUAUAGAAAUUAAAUGUAUGUAUGUAUGAGAGUGUGUCUGGGUGUGUGUGUAUAUGUAUGAAACAAUAGAAAAUUAUGUCUUACAUAUACCUAUCAACACUCAGGUUAUAUGUUCCUGGAAGAAAUAGCUUUUGUGCUUUACUUUUGUACCCAUCAACAACAACCAUAAUAUUGGGCAAGACCUAAUUAGAAGUUUACUAAACAUUCAUUGAGUUAAAUACAGGGCACAGAGCAGGCAUUCCGCAAGUAUUUAUACAUUGCCAAACGUCAACUAUGAAUUAGAAUUUUAUGUGGUGCAAUUUCUCCAAUUCAUACUAUCUAAGUGCCUGAUAAUGGCAGGUAGGAGAAGGGAAAACAGAUGAAAGUUCUCUCUUGCUUUUAUUUGUUUGCUCACCAUUUCAAUCAAUAAAUGCCAAGCUCCUACAUGGGCUGGCUACCAGCAAGGAGGAACAGGAGGUCAAGAAGACUAGGUAUGGCAUCUAGCCCCAAGGUGGCCGGGCAGGCACUCACCCCUACAUCAACCAUUUGACUGAAACCUUGUGGUUUAAUGAAUUAUUUUUCUGACAUUCAUUCUGCAAAAAAAGGAAAACAUAGAAAUACAAUAUAGCCUUUCCUUCAGCAGAAGAACUAACACAUGUGGUUGAAAGAGACAAAAGAUGUUUAACUGAUCUCAUUGUUUCUAUAUCAACUGCUUUAUAAUUCAUAUUUAUUUCAGGGCAGCAGAGAAAAGAUUACAUUGCUUAUUUUCUGUAUGUCAGUUUCCUAAUCAUUUCCACCCAUGGGAUCUGUCAACACUAUUCAUUUAUGCACAGGUAUUGCUGCAAAGGCUGUUUUUCUAAACCAUAAAUUCUUCUUGAACUUAUCAGAGUAUGAACAUGUACUGAUGAGUACUGAAGCACGGCGGAAUCUUUACCGAAUUCAGUAUUGCCAAGACGAAAAAGGGCUACACGUUGGAGACAUUUACAUAAGUUUCUCUCCAAGAACAGGCUGACCACAAGCGGGAAACACACCUACAAGAUAUCCAUCACAGCUGACAGAAGAAUGGAACAGUGAAAGGUCCUGGAGUCCAUCAUGCCUGAAGGAAAUUCCCUCCUUACUGCCCAUUUUCCCUAUGAAACUGCCUCAAGAUUCUGUAAUUUUUGAAGACAGUUUUUUUGGGGACAGUCUGCCAUCUUCUCGAUUACGCCAGCUAAUUGAAUUAAAACUUCCUCUCUCCAUCCCUAGUUAGUUGUGAUUAAUUGGCUCAGAUUGCCAUGAGCAGAGUGAGCCCAUUGCUUGGUAUCGAUAUCUCUCAGAACAUUAAACUUUUAAAUAAAAUAAAACUGAAUCACAGCGUCUUUCUUCAGCUUCCCCAAAUCUUGCCAAAGUCCUCUAUCGCGAAGACACAAAAGCGGGGGCAGGUUUCAUGUUUAAAGAAUGUUCGUAUUGUUCAGCGCACCUGCCAUCUAUCUUGACUGUAAUAGGCGCUUGUAAAGAUGCUUCGUGCUGAAGAACGGCCAUUUUAGCCCAAACCCUCUUUCUCUCUCGGUACAUUUCCCGUGUCCUCCAACCUUCAUACUGAGCCAACAGACAAAAUGUGGACUCUAAACAAACGCACUUUAUGCCUGCGGUUUACUCAGAGCUUAAUUUUUUGUCACAGUUUUGAGUCGGUUUUUCAAGCACAAGGAUUGAGUUGUCACGGGUGACUUUCCUGGAUGAAAGCCAGUACUCUGAGGGCUGUCAGUUCUGGAGAAAUUUGAGACUUUUAUCUACUCGAGCACAGUUUUUAUCACAUCAUCAAAGGGUGGCUGCCAUCUGCUCAGACGAGAAGCGGAUGUCGGUCUUCCCAAGAGGAUGGUUGCGUGCUAUUUGAAGGUUCUCUAGGGACGUAGAAACCACAGAAGUUGCCUUGGGGUUAGGAUGAAAAGAAUUAACAGAAAUAUAACAACGUUGUGUGAAAAUGAGGGUUGUAAGGCUCCUGAUUUUAGAUCUACAGCCUUCUUGAGGUCCUCCGGGGAUGGCUCAAUGGUCAAAUCUCUACUCACUUAGAGACAGACUCACUUCUGAGGGUAGCAGAUUGUAAGGUCCCCGCUGUCUAACAGUCUUUAGAAGCCCUAAGCCAUAUUCCUUGAUCCCUUAAUACAUCAUUGUGUUCACUCCACAAACAAGAUAUUCUCUUCCAUAACCACGGCACAGUUUGCAAGCUUCAGGAAAUUUACUAUUAACAUCAUACGUUGUCUGAUCUCUCAUCCAUAUUCCAAUAUUGUGCGUUGUCCCAAUAACGCCCUUUAGAGCAUUCAGUCCAGGAUGCACCCCAGGAUCACAGUUUGCAUUUAACUGGCAUUUAGUCUCCUUUACUCUAGAACAGGUUCCCAUCUUCUCUUUGUGUUUUAUGACAUAGACGAUUUUAAGAAUACAGGCCACUUAUUUUACAGAAAGUUCCUCAACUUAGGUAUGUCUGAUGUUUCCUCAUAAUUACAUUCAAGUAGAUUUGAAGGCUUUUCCACGGAAAGGCAGAAAUCAUGGACUCGUCCAGUGGCUUCCCAUCUCAUUUGGAGUGAAAUUUACAUACUUAACAAGUCGUAAAAGGCCCUGCUUCCUGCUACUUGCUCUGGCUCUCUCUCUGCCUCAGGCCCUUUGCACUUGCUGGUCCCAAUUCCUGGCGUGCUCUUUCCCCAAAUCUUUGCUUGCUUUGCUCCCUCCCUUCAUUCAGGUACAUUUAGCCACAAACUGAGUGAUAAUCUCAGAUUCCAAUUCACAGCAUCCUUUUGUUAUUUGGAGCCCUUCCUUCCUGCCAGGCUUCUGAAUGCCUUCCUCUUCCAACUCCUACCCACAGAGUGCACAUGAAUGUGGAAUGAUUGAUAAUUUGCUCUUUGGAACUAACCCAGUGUCCCUUCAGGGUCCGGUUUUAUAGAUGGAGUUGAUAUUCAGAGCGCCAUUAAUUUAGGUGAGAGUGACAUCUAGUGGACCAGUGAUGAGGACAUUUGAGUAAAAGCUCUUGAUUAGCCUUUACAGAUCCAUGGAGGGGCAAAACAAAAACAAUAAAACAAAACCCCGGCCAAUCUCUGGAGAGAUUUGGUUGUGAGAUCUGGAGAAUUCAGUGAGACUCUCGUUGACAUUUGAUGCGGCCUUUGACGAGAUAAAGAUAUCUGAAGAUUUAGGUUUCCAUUGUGUGUGUUUGAAAGGAGGUGUAGAGGACGGGCCUGAAAUGAGAAAAAUGAGAGACUCUGGUGCAUGAGACAGCUUGUACUAUAAACUCAUUUUCAA